rnacentral:lncRNA from 1 species
AUGUGUGGAUCACCCCAAAGUGGAAAACAGGACAGCUGGCCCUGCUAUGCCUCUUCAAGGGAAGGACCGCUGCCUCUGUGCUCAGCUGGACACAGCUCUGCUUCCUCCACCUUCUGCCUUUCCCCGGUGCUCACUCUGCCCCGACCCUCUGCUCCUUCUCCCCAAGGCCCUGCUUCCCUGAGCAGAAUGCAGGAGAAGGACUCUCAGAGGGCACCUUGGCCGGGUUCCCCACAUGUUACGUAUUCUCAGGUACUGCCUGUUGGGAAUGCAAGACUGCUAAGACCCAGCGUGUGCCAACAUCCAGUGGAGGCUGCGGCAUGGCUGGGCUGUGCCCAGUCUUGGCCCCUGUCUUUGUUUAUACCCAUGCUUGGUCACAUACCCGCCCUACUAGAAGCCUGUAGGGCCCGACGUAUGGCAUAUGCCAGUGAGGUUCAUGAAUGAAUAAAUGAAUGAAGAUGGAAUAACUGUACCCAUGGGCAGCUGAA